rnacentral:rRNA from 1 species
GGGGAAUAUUGGACAAUGGGCGCAAGCCUGAUCCAGCCAUGCCGCGUGAGUGAUGAAGGUCUUAGGAUUGUAAAGCUCUUUCACCGGAGAAGAUAAUGACGGUAUCCGGAGAAGAAGCCCCGGCUAACUUCGUGCCAGCAGCCGCGGUAAUACGAAGGGGGCUAGCGUUGUUCGGAAUUACUGGGCGUAAAGCGCACGUAGGCGGAUAUUUAAGUCAGGGGUGAAAUCCCAGAGCUCAACUCUGGAACUGCCUUUGAUACUGGGUAUCUAGAGUAUGGAAGAGGUGAGUGGAAUUCCGAGUGUAGAGGUGAAAUUCGUAGAUAUUCGGAGGAACACCAGUGGCGAAGGCGGCUCACUGGUCCAUUACUGACGCUGAGGUGCGAAAGCGUGGGGAGCAAAC